rnacentral:rRNA from 1 species
UACGUAGGGGGCGAGCGUUGUCCGGAGUUACUGGGCGUAAAGCGCACGCAGGCGGUCUGCUAAGUUUGGAGUGACAGUUGGUGGCUUAACUGCCAAAGUGCUUCGAAAACUGACAGACUUGAGGGCUUCAGAGGGACACGGAAUUCCGGGUGGAGUGGUGAAAUGCGUAGAGAUCCGGAAGAACACCGGUGGCGAAGGCGGUCCGCUGGGGUGUUGCUGACGCUGAGGCGCGACAGCGUGGGGAGCAAACAGG